UUAUCUGUUUAAGUGAAAGCUGAGAUUCAGCAGUGAUCACUCAGCUCCCAUUGCUAAAAGCAAAGAAUUAGAAGUUGCAGAAGUUGAAGACUGUUGGCUGUGAGUGCUGGGAACGGAAACUCCACAGUCGUGCCUCUUGCUUAAAUGUUGACCUGCAGCCAGCACCAGACUGUGUUCAGCUGUCUGUUCCUGAAAGCAGCAUCUCAUCUCUGUGGCAUUUUGGUACUGUGCAGCUGGAUUACACCAGUGUAUCUGCCCGAACUAGCCCAGGAUCCUGGUUCCUGUCUUGGAAAGUGAAAGAUGCAAGGAGUCCUUGGGAAGAGGCGUUUCAUUAAGGAUGGACAUGGGGUCAUGAUUAAGAAGAGGGCCAGAAGAAGUCGCAGCAAGGACAUCUCCCACCAAGGGAUCAAGAACCAAGAGCUGAGGCACCUCUAAAACAAAGACAUGGAGAAACAGAUUCCUGACUGUUCUUGUUACUUGUUUCGCUUCUUUUCUGUUUGAACAGAGCCCUGAUGAGACUCAUGAGUCGAGAGGAACCAGGAAAGGAAAAUGGGAGUGUGCAGCUGCCUCAAGGAGGAGGCCAGAUGAGGACAGACAGGAGGUUUUCCAGGCUGAGAAAGAAGAUAUGGAGACAACUUGUUAUUGCACUAGGAUCUGGAAACUUCAUGCAUAUUACAGAACAGCACUGUUGCAGGUAUUUGUGACCCACGACCACGUAGCUGGUGCUGACAACUUGUUCUUAUCCUUCUCCUGUGAUACUGCUAAGAUCACCACCGGAGCUGCCCUAACUCUCAGAGCCCAAUCCCCCCAGCAACAUACUGACAGCUACACCUUCAGAUAUACUUUCUGAUGCUUGUAGGAGGGACCACUCAUUUCUCUGAGAUUGCCUGUUUCCAGGUACCAGCAUCCAAAAGGAAAAGGAUACGGCAGCAGAAGAGGAAGUUUGAGAGUUCUACCUGAAGUCUCAACACUGCAAUCACUUCCACUGUGCUACCUGAUGCUGCAGAAAAAAGAAGACCCUGCUGGGAGCACACAGCCACUGGCAAUACUGACUGCUUAAUGCAGACGGUCCCUGUGCGUGGAAGCAGAUCUGAGGACUGCACACAUAUCAGGGCUCAUCAAAUCAGGACCCAUUUUCUUGUGCAGUGCAAAGUAAGAUCACUGAGGCCUGAGAUAACCUUGCCAACCCUGGGAAGUUUCUAGAUUCCUUGUCUGUGUUUUCAGUACCUCAGUACUAAUGUUCACUAGCUUAAAAUAGCAUGUCCUUAUUUAAGCUGCAGGGAAACUUGAUUUUUGUUUUUGAAAAUACAUUCAGAAAUUGAUAUCCCAGUAUUCUACAAACUGCAAGCUGGCAUCUUUGUAUCAUCACAGUCUUCUCUUCUGCACCAGUGUCACCUUCCAUUUCAAAACCCACUCCUUGAGCUUUCUCACAUCCCUACUUUUGGGCAGGUGCGGUUUGUUCAGAGUUAGCAAAUCAGCCUUAAUUUUGGGUCAUUGGCCUGCCCAACAGGAGGUAAAAAGCAUCUCCUAUUUCAAGUUUAUCGCAAUGUUAUUCUGCUAGCACUGCAUUUAUUAUAUUUCCAACUUCUGCUCUCAGGCUGGUUUUGCUGGGAUGUUCCUGCAAUAACAGCUGUCCCCAUUUAUUGUUUUCUUAGGUACCAUAUGGUAGAUAUGCCUUGUGCUAAGGCUGAGUGACUCCAAACUGAGCUUUUACCUUGUGUGGAAGAGACGUGCCAGCAGAUCAAAGAGUAAAUACCAGUUUAUAUGGGUGUAGUAGCCGAAGUCUGGCUGUUGUCCUAAUCGUAUUGUUCCCCUGUGCUGCUGGCUGUAGAGGUCAGGAUGGUUAACCCUCACGUGUCAAUGGCCAAUUAAACUUGAGAAGUCUUCUAUCCCCUUCUCACAGGCUUUUGAGGGAGUGGUGGAAGGAGGCUACUGUUUAAAUAAAGUGCUUAUUCUACUUGAAGAAGUUGAAUUGCAGUCUGGGGGUGCACUACGGCCACUCCCAAAGCUGCAGGCACAACAAGCUGAGGCAUCACGUAACACUGUAUUUUAAGACCUCAUAGCCCAAGAUGAGAUGCACCCAAAUGAAACUGGAAGGACUGGAGACUAGGGAUGGAGCGAAAGGUUGUAAAAACUUUGGCGUGCUAUUUAGGAGGGCCUUAAGAAGAAAAGCCAGUGCAGUGAUCUGCGUGCUCUGCAGGCUCAGAACUGCAGCCUGCCCUUCUGCACGUCCAGCCCAGCCUCGGGCUUCUUCUGCACCCCUGGCAGGGCCAGGAGCAUCAGACUGGAAUCCCCCAUGGACACAAAGCAAAAAACAAUGUGCAGGUGAAGCCAAAUCUAAACAUGAUGAAGCCAAAUGAGAUUUCUUACCACAGACAACGACAGGGAAAGGGAGCUGCUAGCUGACGAGGGCCAAAAAUAAGGAUGCAGUUACCAAUUAUUACUACUGUUGGAACACGAGUGUUUUUCACUGGAGAAACAAAAUUUGUGUAAUUAAUCAUUGGGUCUCCUUCUCUGACAUAAUCACUCUGCUGCCUGUUAGCCACCUGCUGAAGGAAGCAGAAAUUUGCAUACUUUCAGUAAGUAAAUAUGUAAUCUUUUGUCAAAGUCCAACGUAGUGCAGCCCACACGUGCUGUCCUGUACAAGGGCAGAAUAUACAUCUGUCUCAUUUCCAGUUAUGAUGUGCCCCCAGAGCAGUUCUGUUUGGCUUACAGCUGUGGUUUAAACGUUCAGCCUGAUGGUGAGGAGAAUGGUGAAUGCCUGAUGAACUCUCAUAUUCAUAUAAAAAUAUCAAUUAUAAUGUUCUGCAUCACUGUUACAGCAGCUGAAGCUUCAUGCUCAUUUUGGGUUUGUUUUUUGUUGGUUUUUUUUUCAUCAGGAUGUCCUCAUUGUCUCUUCUGCAAGAAAUCUCAGCUUAUGUGAUAUUGUUCUUUAGGUUGCUGGGCAGCUUUCAGCACCAGUUACACAUGGAGGUCUCUAAGCCUUGGCUGUGCACGGUGUAAGAAGAGCUCAGGAGCAUGGCUGUGCCUUGCUUCACUGCUUCCUGCUGCCUGCACAGGGAUUGAGGUGUUGGGUUGCUAGCAAAGUAGUCGAGGGAUGGAAAAAUUACCACUCUGAGCACGAGUUAUGUUAUGGAAAUGCACAUCUUCCUAAUUAUCGCCAGUAGUAAGAACUGUUACUGCAUUUUAAUUAAUUGAAUUAUGAAUGACCUAAAUUUAGAAGCAGUAAAGGUUAAUUGUUCAUGUCCUUAUGCAAAUAAAGACACUGCACGAAGUGCAGUGAUGUGAAAAAUAAAAAGUGGAAGUGCUGAAGGAGCUGCAGUGUUUCCUGAGGACGGCUGGAAAUUAUUCAGCUGCCUGCAGAAUGGAUCUGAAGGCAUACACUAGGAGCACGUUGGUGGCUAGGUUUUGAAGCUGGUGAGAGCAGUCUUGGCAUAACAGAGCUGUGUUUUCUGCCUAUGAGAUUCCUAGCAGCAGAAUGAUCCCAGCACCUGCCCUGCAGCUGGGCAUCCUGCUGCUGCACGGUGUGCUUGGAGCAGCACGGCCGGAGCCCCAUGG